CUCUCAUUAACCCUAAUUCAAACACUCAGCCGCUACCCCUUUUUUCCCCUUAGCACCAUAAUCCUCACCAUCAUCCUCACACACAAAAAAAAUGCACCCACACCCAUGGAGAAGAGAGAGAGCGGAGAAGAAGAAGAUGGAGACGGCGCCGGUGGGUGUCACUGCCACCGCUGCCGUCGACACUGCUGCAGAAAGGAGAAGACGAGGACAACGUGACAAGGGGAGAGAGAGUAAGAUAUAUAUAUAUAUAUAUAUAUGUAGAGAGAGAGAAAGAGAACGUGUCAUCGCGUCUCGUUGCCGCCAGCACCAUCAAGCCCUGUCGCCAUGUACAUUGUCGCCCCCUAGAGUCGUGGAGUUUGUUGCCAUUGUUGAGAGAGAGGAGAGAGCUCGAGAGAGGGAGGCAGAACGUGAGGAAGCCGCCACCGUCACCGUCGCGAGAAGCUGCCACCAUCACUAUCGCGGGUGUGGGGGACCGUCGCCUUCGUUGGUGGGGUCAGACCCAUCACUAAACUAGGCUGAGGGAGCAGAAGACGCGAUGGAAGGGGAGCCGUUCACCACCGCCAUUGCUGCAACUACGUUACCACGCCUCUGUCGCAGAAAAACAACAUUGUGGCCGCUGAGAAACGUUGUUGGAGUCAACCAUUGGAGCUGCAAUUACUCUGUUCUUGGUUUUUUUUGGUACAUUGUUGUUGUUGUUGGGGAAGCGUAGUGGAGCUGUGGCUGCGGCUGCAGCUGUUGCAGGCCAACAGAAAGAGGAUUUUGUCGCAUACCCUAGUCGCGAUCGAGCGCUGCCCGACAGGAUAUGAUGGAUAUUGUCGAGUGCGUGCCAUUAGUCGUGGAUCUACCACAAGUUCCCGACUUUCUGUCCUGUCAAAUGCAACAUUCUCAGAUUUUCUCUUGCUUCAAGGUAGUUAUUUAAUAUUUUUGUUGUAAUAAUAAGAAUGUGCAAUAUUAAAAACUAACUGAAAUUUUUUUCGGUUAUUAGGUUGGCAUGACUUGGUAGGACAACCAUCAUGACAGAGGUCUUAGAUUGCGGCGUAGGAUGGAUGCCCUAAGGUUUGACGAGUUAUGAUGUUUCGAAUCUUCAUAUGUUAUUCACAAAUUACUCUUCUAGUACUAAAUAUAGUAUUAUACGUGUUUUCAGUUUCGGUGGACACCGUACGAUGAUCCCUAGCUACUGCAGAUGACACCCGACCGGAUUAGUCUGCCAUGUACAUCAAACAUUAUACUGACGUGCUUAUCUUCUUCAACCCAAAACGUCCUAUUUUUUUAAAACCUCCACUAGACAGCGUUGAUAUGAAUCUAUAUGCUACUCAGCUAACCUCCUUCGAACCGAUUAAUUGCUCCCAUGUUGAUCAAGAUAACAUUCUUAAGCACAUCUAGAGAAUCAAUACGGAAGUGCGCAGUAUCACAGUUGAAUUGCACUCAAAUAUUACUCCCUCAUCACCAUUUCUAAUGAUU